rnacentral:misc_RNA from 1 species
GAUGAAGAACGUAGCGAAAUGCGAUACGUAAUGUGAAUUGCAGAAUUCAGUGAAUCAUCGAGUCUUUGAACGCACAUUGCGCCCCCUGGUAUUCCGGGGGGCAUGCCUGUCCGAGCGUCAUUGCUGCCCUCAAGCCCGGCUUGUGUGUUGGGUCUCGUCCCCCUUCCCGGGGGGACGGGCCCGAAAGGCAGCGGCGGCACCGCGUCCGGUCCUCGAGCGUAUGGGGCUUUGUCACCCGCUCUGUAGGCCCGGCCGGCGCUUGCCGAUCAACCAAAACUUUUUUCCAGGUUGACCUCGGAUCAGGUAGGGAUACCCACUGAACUUAAGCAUAUCAAUAAGCGGAGGA